rnacentral:lncRNA from 1 species
UCUCCUCUGGAGACUGUGUGAUGAAUCCUUUCUUGAGUGAUCAGAUUGCAGACAGACUUGCAAGGAUAUUUGCUGCAUACAGUGAGCUAUAUAAUCAACCAUGGAUAAAGACGUUUGAAAUCAAGACCUACAUUUAUAAAUGUCCAGAUGCUGAUCACAGAUGUUAUGUUGGUUUUGUUUCAUAAAGUCGGCCGUUAUUCUGCUACAGUGAUGUGACAUUGUCAAUGAAGCCGUGCACUAGAAUCAGGUAAUAGAAAAAAAUAAUCAUUCUUUCUUAGCAUAUGUGUCAUUUUACAGAAUAGCAGUACAAAUAACAGUCUAAUAACAGUAAAAAAAAUAGAAUGAAAUAAUCCUUCUUUUCUACCUUCCUUCCUUCAAUAAAGAAGAUACAUGAUAUUGCAGCUUCAGGUCCAAUUUUCACAUCUUCCCUUGAGUUAUUUUUUUAUUGUGUGGCUACAAAUUUUCACAUGUGGAAAAUAUGGAUAUCCUAAAAGGGAAUUUGAGAAGACACAUGUUUCUACCACAUAUAAUUAGUUGUGCAUCAUAAAUAUGUUCUUUUUGCUUAGAGAAAAAUAAACUUAAAUAUUCUAUGUACUCACUGCUGAUCUCAAAGCAACAAUGCAGCAUCUAAGCUCUUAUAUUCCUAAACUCACAAGAGAAAAACAUGUUCAGAAAAUAUAAGUGAAUUACUGAAUUCACAUUGAGUUAUUUGAUGUCUUAACUGGAAAAGACCUUUUCAAUGUAUUCAUCAAAUUAAAUGAAGAUUUUCAACAUUUGGAGAAACAUUGCCAGGAGGGUAUAACACUUUCUCUAUAUUUAUGUUGCCUACACUGGAGACUUAUUUGUAAAUGUUUUAUGUUAUGAUGAGCUAAGCUGCAAUGUUGCUUUGUUGAUAUAGGUCAAGGUUCACAAAUGAUUCUAGUAGGUAAGAAUAGAACAAAGAGAAUUUUUGAAUAAGAAUCACUUGACGAUCAGCUUGCCCUACAUUUGUGGCCUUAAGAAAGUUAUGCGUAUUAAGGUAUCCUUCUGAAGCCUUAAGUGGCACCUAGUCUCCUGUACACAAAUAUUACCAACUGGCAGAAUGCAGCAAAAAUAACUCAUUUCCCCUGAAUCCCAAAGGUCACUUUUGGAAAACAUGAAGCUAUUUAACUCAUUUUCAACACUACAGAUACAAAGUACAUUCAGAUAUUACUGUCUGCAUUGGCUUGUUUCAAUGCUAGUUUUAUCCAAAAGCAGCAGUGCCUGAGGGCAUAUAAAUAGCUUUCAGUAAUUUUAGCAAAUGUUUGACAUUUUAAAAGAUAUGCUUUGCUAAACUAUGAAGCCAUGUUUUAACAGUACAUUCUAAAACUGCUAUAAUUAUGAGGUUUGUGGAAUUCUAAUGUAAAUCAUGCUUGGCAGCCUCUUAUGUUUUAAGAAAAAAAAAAUUUGUUCCUAAGAAAAAUGUACAUUAAAUGAAGCAGAGGUUUUUUUUUUUCUUAAAUGCUCCUCUGUAAGUGACUUAUUUUAUCAGUAAAUGUUAUGUUCAAUGUUUGUGACUGGUUACAAUUAUCAAAAGUAAUUGUGAAGUUAAAACAUUUUAAAUGAUGUGGCCAGUUUUCAAUCCUAUCAGACUGAAAGUAACUUGGCAAAAUUCUAACAAAUAGUAAACUUCUUACCUACUGAACUUCUGGCUAUCUGAAGAAUAAUUUGGUGGAUAGUAAGAGAUUUGAUCUUAUAAGUAUCAUAUACAAAGUCUGCCUAAUACAAGCGAGUUGUGCCAUAGGAUCCACAUUCAUUAAUCCAUUUAGAACUGGAAGGAGUAAGUUAAGAAUGAGAAGACCAAGUUAGGUAGUGAAGAUAUAAUCAGACACUUUAGAGAUACAUUCUCAAAAAACACUUAAAAAGGUAAUGCUUUGGCUUUUGACUCACUGUUUUAAAAACUUUCAAAGUUAUUUCUUUUUCUCUCCCAGUCUAUAUCUGAAGCAAAUAAUUUUAAUUCAGAAAAACUGUUUCAUUGUUCACUAAAUAAUCCUGAUCUCUGCCUAGCAAUGUAGAAGAAAGUUGAUGUUUUACAAACAAAGAAUUUGCUUUUUCAUGACCCUUAAAUUGAUCAAGGCGUGAAAAUAAUCCAGACCAACAUGAUCGUGACAGAUAGUGAAUAAAAGAGAAAUGUAGUCCAAUAAUUUAAUUGAAAAAUGUAGAUCAGAAUACUUCUAUUGACUAGUUAAGAAACUAUAUGCACUAAAUUGAAUAUGAUAUUCAAAGUUAAAGCUAGGUUAAGUUAUAGUUAGAUGGCUGUGGAAUCAAAGCAAAGCCAGCUUCAGUUAUCAUAAUAUAAUUUUGAUUAAUUUAUUGGAGGGCAACGGACCCAUCUCACAAGACGGCAUCAACUGGUUUGGUUAUCCUCUCUUUGGGGCAGAGCUAAUGACAUUCACAAAGUCUGACUUAAGUGCCUCUUCUACCUAUUCAUUUUUGUUCCAGACGUAAACUGCUUUCUUCAGAAAACAUCAUAAUGAUUAGAAGUUAAAUACAAAAAAAUGCUGAUUUUAUUUUUCAUACAGCCAUAACAAUUUCUUACAAUUUCACUCUGGAAAACAUUAUCAGAAGUAAAAAUGGUCAGAUGUCCACAGACACUUAUUUUAAUAUACUCUUUUGGAGGAAAUGGAGAAAGUAGUGUACAACAGAAAAGUAAGUGCUAAGUAGAACCCAGAUAUAAUAAUAUUACCCUUAAAAAUUAAGUUACAGAAUAUCUACAUUAUUAAUAAAUGCAACCUAAAACAUGAAACAUUAAUUUGAUAUUAAGUGGCUGAUAAAAUGUAUGCUUUCUUAUAUAAUGUUAAAAAUAAGCUUUAACUAUAUUAUUGCAAUAGCAUAAACUAUGUUUGUAGGCAGAAUACCAGAAGAAAAGAAACUAUUUUAACUAUUAUUAAUUUUAAAUAGUUGAAAUUGUUACCUGUGUGACUUCACUUUUCUGUUUUACUUUUUAAUAUUUUCGAUGUAUUUACUUAAUGAGAAAUUAACUUUAAGUAAUUAUUGAGCAUGAUUUUGCUUCAGGUUUUGUAUUUGUUUGUAAAAGACUAAAGUAACAACCUACAUGUGUCUCAUGAAGGUUUAUUCACAUAAAUACCUACUUAAUUCUUAC